AGUGAACGCUGGCGGUAGGCCUAACACAUGCAAGUCGAACGGCAGCACAGUAAGAGCUUGCUCUUACGGGUGGCGAGUGGCGGACGGGUGAGGAAUACAUCGGAAUCUACUUUUUCGUGGGGGAGAACGUAGGGAAACUUACGCUAAUACCGCAUACGACCUACGGGUGAAAGCAGGGGAUCUUCGGACCUUGCGCGAUUGAAUGAGCCGAUGUCGGAUUAGCUAGUUGGAGGGGUAAAGGCCCACCAAGGCGACGAUCCGUAGCUGGUCUGAGAGGAUGAUCAGCCACACUGGAACUGAGACACGGUCCAGACUCCUACGGGAGGCAGCAGUGGGGAAUAUUGGACAAUGGGCGCAAGCCUGAUCCAGCCAUACCGCGUGGGUGAAGAAGGCCUUCGGGUUGUAAAGCCCUUUUGGUGGGAAAGAAAGGCAGCAGGUUAAUACCCCGCUGUUCUGACGGUACCAAAAGAAUAAGCACCGGCUAACUUCGUG
rnacentral:rRNA from 1 species